UCUUAUGCCCAUCUCUGGAAAUGGAGUGGGAUCAGCCCCAUUGAAAGAACACAGCCUGAGGGCAGGAAGUUAUUGAACCCAAGAGAGAAAUUAAAGUACUUUUCAUGAAAGAUCAUUGUCUGUUAAGACCCAAUCUCAGAGAAGUUAAAGAGCUUUCAUCACCAUACUUUCAGGGUCAAUUCAUCUCUGAAAAGGAACAGAUGGGGAAGAAUUAUUCAAUUCACAGUUGACUUGUCAUAAAUUCCAAGAUCUUGGACUGGCUGAAAACAAUGAUGUUGCCAUUCAUCCUUUCAUGUAUUCAUUAUGGUCUAUAGCUGAGAAGGGCUAUUUGGGGUUUGCUUUGGCUGAUGCUAGAAGAAGAAAACCAAGAAGAAGCCUCUCUAGGAAAACUUGCAGUAAGGAGAGUGGUCUGGAGAAUGGGAAGAGCAAGACCAAGAUAUUCAGUUGCUUGGUGAGAGCUGCUCUCUGCUUCCAAGAUGGCACCUUGUUGCUGCAUCCUCCAAUGGGAAGGAAUUCUGGGUCCUCACAUGACAGAAGGUGGAAAGGCAGAGAUCUGGCAACCUGAUGUGGAAAGAAAUAUCAUUUGUGACCACCAUUUUGUCAGGAGUCACGGGAUUCUACAGCCGCAGCAAACCUGGAGCAAACUGGUCCCCCCCAAUCUAGAUGAGACAAACCAGUGAUAACUGAAAAUCACAAUAAAAUUGUAAUACUCAAGAUC